rnacentral:rRNA from 1 species
UAUCUCUGUAGAGUCUGCAUAUCAAUAAGCGGAGGAAAAGAAACUAACUAGGAUUCCCUCAGUAACGGCGAGUGAAGCGGGAAGAGCUCAAAUUUGAAAUCUUACAAGGUUUUACCUUGACGAAUUGUAGUUUAAAGAAGUGUUUUCUGUUGAAGUUUCGGUAAAAGUUCUUUGGAAUAGGACAUCAUAGAGGGUGAGAAUCCCGUAUUUGACCAGUUACUUUCCAGCUGUUGUGAUACACUUCCAAAGAGUCGGAUUGUUUGGGAAUGCAGUCCAAAAUGGGUGGUAAAUUUCAUCUAAAGCUAAAUACUGGCGAGAGACCGAUAGGCGAACAAGUACCGUGAGGGAAAGAUGAAAAGAACUUUGAAAAGAGAGUUAAACAGUACGUGAAAUUGUCAAAAGGGAAGCGUUUGACACCAGUGUUGUUUUCUCGAAAAUCAAUUAAAAAAGGAUUGAUUUUGUGUUGUAUUGACUUUAAUCAGCUUUCUUCACUCUUUUCAUUGUCUUUUUUAAUGCACUUUUCGUUUAACAAGUCAACAUCAGUUUCUUUUGUUGUAAAAGGGUCAUUGGAAGGUGGCUUUCUUUUCGGAGAAAGUGUUUAUAGCCUUUGACUUCUGCAAUCGGAGAGAUUGAGGUCUGCAGCGUAGAUCCUUCGGGAUUAGAUACAUUUGUGCUAAGUUAUAGCCUUUCAUAGACAACUUGUUGACUAUGAUCAGUCAUGUAGCUUACUCGCUUAUGCUAUUUUACCUACGCUUAGGAUGUUGAUCUCUCACAGUCGAGC